GGAGGAAGAGAGGAGUCCAAAUCAGAAGGACCGCCGGUUUGCUAAACCGGAACCGGGGUCAUGCCCGGCGCGGGGCAGUACCGCUCUCCUCCGCCA
rnacentral:tRNA from 1 species